rnacentral:rRNA from 1 species
UACGGAGGGUGCAAGCGUUAUCCGGAUUUACUGGGUUUAAAGGGUGCGUAGGCGGCGCGGUAAGUCGGGUGUGAAAUCUCGGAGCUUAACUCCGAAACUGCAUUCGAUACUGCCGUGCUUGAGGACUGGAGAGGAGACUGGAAUUCCUGGUGUAGCGGUGAAAUGCGCAGAUAUCAGGAGGAACACCGAUGGCGAAGGCAGGUCUCUGGGCAUUAACUGACGCUGAGGAGCGAAAGCAUGGGGAGCGAACAGG